CCUACGGGAGGCAGCAGUGAGGAAUAUUGGUCAAUGGGCUUACGCCUGAACCAGCCAAGUCGCGUGAGGGAAGACUGCCCUAUGGGUUGUAAACCUCUUUUGUCAGGGAGCAACGCCGGCUACGUGUAGCCGGACUGAGAGUACCUGAAGAAAAAGCAUCGGCUAACUCCGUGCCAGCAGCCGCGGUAAUACGGAGGAUGCGAGCGUUAUCCGGAUUUAUUGGGUUUAAAGGGUGCGUAGGCGGAAUGCCAAGUCAGCGGUAAAAUCGCGGGGCUCAACCUCGCUCCGCCGUUGAAACUGGCGUUCUUGAGUGGGCGAGAAGUAUGCGGAAUUCGUGGUGUAGCGGUGAAAUGCAUAGAUAUCACGAAGAACUCCGAUUGCGAAGGCAGCAUACCGGCUCCAUACUGACGCUGAGGCACGAAAGCGUGGGGAUCGAACAGGAUUAGAUACCCGAGUAGUC
rnacentral:rRNA from 1 species